GGUCAAGCGAAUAAGCGCACACGGUGGAUGCCUUGGCGGUCAGAGGCGAUGAAGGACGUGGCAGCCUGCGAAAAGUAUCGGGGAGCUGGCAACAAGCUUUGAUCCGGUAAUGUCCGAAUGGGGAAACCCACCCGCUUGCGGGUAUCCUGCAGUGAAUACAUAGCUGCUGGAAGCGAACCUGGUGAACUGAAAUAUCUAAGUAACCAGAGGAAAAGAAAUCAACCGAGAUUCCGUGAGUAGCGACGAGCGAACGCGGACUAGCCCUUAAGCUGAUUUGGUUCUAGGAAAACGCUCUGGAAAGAGCGGCCAUAGAAGGUGAUAGCCCUGUAUCUGAAAGGGCCAUUUCAGUGAAGACGAGUAGGGCGGGGCACGUGAAACCCUGUCUGAACAUGGGGGGACCAUCCUCCAAGGCUAAAUACUACUGACCGACCGAUAGUGAACCAGUACCGUGAGGGAAAGGCGAAAAGAACCCCGGAGAGGGGAGUGAAAUAGAACCUGAAACCGUGUGCGUACAAGCAGUAGGAGCUCCGCAAGGAGUGACUGCGUACCUUUUGUAUAAUGGGUCAGCGACUUACUGUUCGUGGCAAGCUUAACCGUAUAGGGGAGGCGAAGGGAAACCGAGUCUGAUAAGGGCGCAUAGUCGCGGGCAGUAGACCCGAAACCGGGUGAUCUAGUCAUGCCCAGGGUGAAGGUGCGGUAACACGCACUGGAGGCCCGAACCCACUCCCGUUGCAAAGGUAGGGGAUGAGGUGUGAUUAGGAGUGAAAAGCUAAUCGAACCCGGAGAUAGCUGGUUCUCCUCGAAAGCUAUUUAGGUAGCGCCUCAUAUGUAUCCUCUCGGGGGUAGAGCACUGUUAUGGCUAGGGGGUCAUCGCGACUUACCAAACCAUUGCAAACUCCGAAUACCGAGACGGACUGUAUGGGAGACACACGGCGGGUGCUAACGUCCGUCGUGAAAAGGGAAACAACCCAGACCCACAGCUAAGGUCCCAAAUUUUGUGCUAAGUGGAAAACCAUGUGGAAAGGCACAGACAGCCAGGAGGUUGGCUUAGAAGCAGCCACCCUUUAAAGAAAGCGUAAUAGCUCACUGGUCGAGUCGGUCUGCGGGGAAGAUUUAACGGGGCUAAGCACAGAACCGAAGCUUGGGGUGCAUAACUUUGUUAUGCGCGGUAGAGGAGCGUUCCGUAAGCCGUUGAAGGUGGAUUGAGAAGUCUGCUGGAGGUAUCGGAAGUGCGAAUGCUGACAUGAGUAACGAUAAUGCGGGUGAAAAACCCGCACGCCGAAAGCCCAAGGUUUCCUUGCGCAACGUUAAUCGGCGCAGGGUGAGUCGGCCCCUAAGGCGAGGACGAAAGUCGUAGUCGAUGGGAAGCAGGUUAAUAUUCCUGCACCUCGCGUAAGUGCGAUGGAGGGACGGAGAAGGUUAGGUGUACCAGGCGUUGGUUGUCCUGGGGAAAGGCGGUAGGUUUGGAUCUUUGGCAAAUCCGGGAUCCUUUAAGACCGAGCACCGAGACGAGCCUUUAUGGCAAAGUCACUGAUACCACGCUUCCAGGAAAAGCUCCUAAGCUUCAGCUUACGCAGACCGUACCGUAAACCGACACAGGUGGGUAGGAUGAGAAUUCUCAGGCGCUUGAGAGAACUCGGGUGAAGGAACUAGGCAACAUGGCACCGUAACUUCGGGAGAAGGUGCACCCUUUUUGGUGGCUCGUGCGAGCUAUAGCUGAAGAGGGUCGCAGUAACCAGGCCGCUGCGACUGUUUAUCAAAAACACAGCACUCUGCAAACACGAAAGUGGACGUAUAGGGUGUGACGCCUGCCCGGUGCUGGAAGGUUAAUUGAUGGGGUCAGCCGCAAGGCGAAGCUCUUGAUCGAAGCCCCAGUAAACGGCGGCCGUAACUAUAACGGUCCUAAGGUAGCGAAAUUCCUUGUCGGGUAAGUUCCGACCUGCACGAAUGGCGUAACGACAGCGGCGCUGUCUCCACCCGAGACUCAGUGAAAUUGAAAUCGCUGUGAAGAUGCAGCGUUCCCGUGGCAAGACGGAAAGACCCCGUGAACCUUUACUAUAGCUUUACACUGAACGUUGAGUUCGUCUGUGUAGGAUAGGUGGGAGGCUAUGAAACCAUGGCGCUAGCUGUGGUGGAGCCAUCCUUGAAAUACCACCCUGUCGUGCUUGACGUUCUAACCUGGGCCCAUUAUCUGGGUCGGGGACCGUGUAUGGUGGGUAGUUUGACUGGGGCGGUCUCCUCCUAAAGAGUAACGGAGGAGCUCGAAGGUACGCUCAGCGCGGUCGGACAUCGCGCACUGUGUGCAAAGGCAUAAGCGUGCUUGACUGCAAGAUCGACGGAUCAAGCAGGUAGGAAACUAGGACUUAGUGAUCCGGUGGUUCUGUAUGGAAGGGCCAUCGCUCAACGGAUAAAAGGUACUCCGGGGAUAACAGGCUGAUACCGCCCAAGAGUUCAUAUCGACGGCGGUGUUUGGCACCUCGAUGUCGGCUCAUCACAUCCUGGGGCUGUAGUCGGUCCCAAGGGUAUGGCUGUUCGCCAUUUAAAGUGGUACGCGAGCUGGGUUCAGAACGUCGUGAGACAGUUCGGUCCCUAUCUGCCAUGGGCGUUGGAGAUUUGAGAGGGGCUGCUCCUAGUACGAGAGGACCGGAGUGGACGAACCUCUGGUGUUCCGGUUGUCACGCCAGUGGCAUUGCCGGGUAGCUAUGUUCGGAAGCGAUAACCGCUGAAAGCAUCUAAGCGGGAAGCGCGCCUCAAGAUGAGAUCUCCCGGGGCACAAGCCCCCUGAAGGAACCAUGUAGACUACGUGGUUGAUAGGUCAGGUGUGUAAGUACAGCAAUGUAUUGAGCUAACUGAUACUAAUGAUCCGUGCGGCUUGACCAU
rnacentral:rRNA from 1 species